rfam:Otolemur garnettii contig024840, whole genome shotgun sequence.
AUACUUACCUGGCAGGGAGAUACCAUGAUCAUGAAGGUUGAAGGUGGUUUUCCCAGGGCAAAUAUCCAUUGCACUCCGGAAGUGCUGACCCCUGCGAUUUCUUCAAAUGUGGAAAACUCGAUUGCAUAAUUGGUGGUGGGGGAGACUGUGUUUGCGCUUAA